AUGGAGGCUAGGAGAAAAAUAUUCUAUGAACAUAGUAACAGUGAUCAAGAGCUACACUUUGUUGAGUGCUCACUAUGUGCUACUAGUGCUUAAGGGUUUUAUACUCAUUCUUUCACUUAAUGUUCACAGAGAGCCCACAAAGUGGCUCUGUUACAAAUGCUUCUUUGGAAUGAGGAGACUGAAGCUUGAAGAGGUUAUGUGAACUUGACUAAAGUUUCACACCGAUCCACAGCAAAGAUGGCGACACGAAUCCAGGUGGAUAUUUUCCAUACUAUCCUCAAAGCUGUAAUUAUAACAGAAUAAUAAGCAUAGGAUCAGCUCUCUUUUAGGUAUAAAUAACUUCCAGGAAUAUGAGCACCAGUUAGAAAAUAAACCUGGUGGCAUUUGUGGCUGGAGCUGGAUGAUUUCCACAGCAUACAUCCUUUUUACCUGCGCCUUGGAGCUUCUGGUGAGUCUGCAGGGGCAACUCCCCGAGCCACAGAAGCCAGGAAUUCUUGUCUCUUCUGCUGUACAAGGCAUGCUGCCUUGAUGAUCUUGUGGCGGGGUGUGCGAAGGUAAGGCCUAUUGACUUUUUGGGCAAGGUCUUCAGUGACCAUUUCUAGGUCUGUCUAUGGUAAUAAGAGAGAGAGAAAAAAAGGAUUAUAGGCUGAAUAAGUUAGUCAAUAGCAAAUUCAUUAUCUAUUUGGUUUCUCAGUUAAAUCUAACUCUUUUGAAUUCCGAAAUUAAUCCAAAUUAUAAAAUAACUUAUUUAACAUAUACUUCUAUUUUGUGCAUUUCAGGAAAAUAGUACUCAUCUGAAAGUCAUUUAUAACAAUGUAGUCGGUACAAAGACAUAGUGAGUAUGCUAGAACUCUAUAGGGAAUUUAAAAUUUGUCUAUGUGAAAAAAAAAUGAGUAGAUUUCAAGGCACUGUACAUGCAAAUACAUGACUACGUAGUGAAAACUACAUGGAAACGGUGAAGGAAUCUGAGGCAAGGCAAGAUCUCUGUGAUCUAGGCUUAGGUCUGAAAGGUUUCAUGGAAAAAAUUAAUAUUGAGCACCUUUUAAAGAAAUGUGGGAUAUAGAUUACUAGAGGGCAGUUCAAAGGAGUGGCAUGAAAAUUGUGGCAAGAGAAGAAAGUUUGGUGUAUUAAAAAAAAAAAGAAUGUAUAAUGAAGUUGGUUAGCUAUAGUGAUCAGUUGGCUUUGGUGUUGUUUUUUUAAAUAUUCUAACUUUUUCACUUGUACUUUUAAAAUAAACUGGCACACAGUAACUUUCCCAUCUAGUAUGUAAUGUGUUUUGUUUCAUCUUUGAAGAUAAAGUUUCUAGUUACAUAAUCAGAAAUAGGCUAGAUUUCAACAUCAACCAGUUUAGGAUAAAUAAAUAAAUGUGGUAGGAAAUGUUUGCAUAGCUCAGAACUCACUCAGAUUUACUGUGGUGAAUUUAAUUAUAAAAAAAUUUCAGUUUAUUACUAGUAACUUUUCCUUCUUUAAAAAUCACUGUAAACAUGAAAAUAAAAUUUUCUACUAGUCACACCCAAAUAAGAUAAAAUGUAGUUAAGUGGUUGAAAAAGGACAAAAUCUGUUUUUUUUAUAGUAAUUGCAUUUAAAUUUAAUUUUAAAAAGAUAUCUUACUUGCAUGAGUUCAAAAAUUUCUUUCUUUGUGCUUUUAGGUUCUAAGAAAAAUCCAUAUGGAUAAGAACACUUGAGAAUGCGUCGAGUUUUUAAGAGCACAUGAACUGCAUCUUCAAUGAAAGUAGUAUCUGGACAGCCUCCUUCAGCUAUAAAGUAAAUCAGGCAGAGUGAAAAAAAAAAACUUCUGCAAAUAUGCUGUCAUAAAUUAAUUAAACAAUGAGUUUUCUCAAACAAACAAAAAAGGCUCUCUAUUUAGAAACUGCUUGAAGUAACUGUAUGGUAAUACUUAUUUGAA